UGACUCACGUUCCCCUCAAUGACUUGUGGUGGUGCCCCUGCUACACCUCCACGGCAAACCUGUGCUCCGUGUCUCCAUUCCUCCAUCCUGACUUCAUGAUAGGUGCUUGCAAAAUGGCAUAGACAUGACAUUGAGAAGCAACGGUGGCUGCCAGCUCUGCAGUACACUGUGUUCUGUCUAUGAAGUACCAAGUGGGUGAUGGUGUUACAGUCAAGAAGUGUACGGAGCACCAUGGAAAGACUUCUGUGACUGCCCACACACAUCAGGGUCAUGUGCGGCUGCUCUCACGUUGACACUCCAAGCUUCUGCUAUAUGCCUCCCCUUUCUCCCUCUUCUACUUCCUCAAAAAUGUAUUUAUAAUUAAUUAUGGUCUAAGGGCAGUAUACAUCACUAAAACAUAAAAAGAAACAAAGCAGGCCAGGUUUUGUCUUUCUGCAGCUUUAAUUAUAUAAAUAAAACAACUAAAUAAUUAUGAUUUAGAAA
rnacentral:lncRNA from 1 species